rnacentral:misc_RNA from 1 species
GUAUUGUAUUGCGUUAAACGCGGCAUACAUUCCAUAAGACUUUAUUACAGUGUGUGUGUAAAGAUGUAGAACCAGGGCAAGAGGGACAGAGUCCCCCAUGCCCCAGAACCACAGAGCGUGCACAGGUGUGAGUGGAUGUGUAAACAGAGCGUGCACGUGCCCCCAUGUGAGGGACCAGCAACAACUCGUGUCGACAGUUCAGUAAUGAUCCUUCCGCAGGUUCACCUACGGAAA